GAUGAACGCUAGCGGCAGGCUUAACACAUGCAAGUCGAGGGGCAGCAUAAUGGAUAGCAAUAUCUAUGGUGGCGACCGGCGCACGGGUGCGUAACGCGUAUGCAACCUACCUUUAACAGGGGGAUAACACUGAGAAAUUGGUACUAAUACCCCAUAAUAUCAUAGAAGGCAUCUUUUAUGGUUGAAAAUUCCGAUGGUUAGAGAUGGGCAUGCGUUGUAUUAGCUAGUUGGUGGGGUAACGGCUCACCAAGGCGACGAUACAUAGGGGGACUGAGAGGUUAACCCCCCACACUGGUACUGAGACACGGACCAGACUCCUACGGGAGGCAGCAGUGAGGAAUAUUGGUCAAUGGACGCAAGUCUGAACCAGCCAUGCCGCGUGCAGGAUGACGGCUCUAUGAGUUGUAAACUGCUUUUGUACGAGGGUAAACGCAGAUACGUGUAUCUGUCUGAAAGUAUCGUACGAAUAGGAAUCGGCUAACUCCGUG
rnacentral:rRNA from 1 species